rnacentral:rRNA from 1 species
UACGGGGGGUGCGAGCGUUGUCCGGAAUCACUGGGCGUAAAGGGCGCGUAGGUGGUUUGAUAAGGGUGUGGUGAAAGUCCGGGGCUCAACCCCGGAUCUGCCGUGCCGACUGUCAAACUCGAGGGCUGUAGAGGCAGACGGAAUUCCGGGUGUAGCGGUGGAAUGCGUAGAGAUCCGGAGGAAGACCGGUGGCGAAGGCGGUCUGCUGGGCAGUUUCUGACACUGGGGCGCGACAGCGUGGGGAGCAAACAGG